rnacentral:tRNA from 1 species
GGUCGGUUAGCUCAGUUGGUUAGAGCGUGGUGCUAAUAUCCUAUUGUUAACGCCAAGGUCGCGGGUUCGACCCCCGUACUGACCA